rnacentral:rRNA from 1 species
GACGAACGCUGGCGGCGUGCUUAACACAUGCCAGUCGAACGAAGAGCGAUGGAAGCUUGCUUCUAUCAAUCUUAGUGGCGAACGGGUGAGUAACGCGUAAUCAACCUGCCCUUCAGAGGGGGACAACAGUUGGAAACGACUGCUAAUACCGCAUACGAUCUAAUCUCGGCAUCGAGGAUAGAUGAAAGGUGGCCUCUACAUGUAAGCUAUCACUGAAGGAGGGGAUUGCGUCUGAUUAGCUAGUUGGAGGGGUAACGGCCCACCAAGGCGAUGAUCAGUAGCCGGUCUGAGAGGAUGAACGGCCACAUUGGGACUGAGACACGGCCCAGACUCCUACGGGAGGCAGCAGUGGGGAAUCUUCCGCAAUGGACGAAAGUCUGACGGAGCAACGCCGCGUGAGUGAUGACGGCCUCCGGGUUGUAAAGCUCUGUUAAUCGGGACGAAAGGCCUUCUUGCGAACAGUUAGAAGGAUUGACGGUACCGGAAUAGAAAGCCACGGCUAACUACGUG